rnacentral:rRNA from 1 species
AAUCAACGCUGGCGGCGUGCCUCAGACAUGCAAGUCGAACGAUUAAAGCUCUCUUCGGAGAGUGCAUAGAGUGGCGCACGGGUGAGUAACACGUAAGUAAUCUACCUUCGAGUGGGGAAUAACGUCCGGAAACGGACGCUGAUACCGCAUAAUGCAGCGGCAUCGCAAGAUGACAGUUGUUAAAGAUUUAUCGCUUGAAGAGGAGCUUGCGGCAGAUUAGCUAGUUGGUAAGGUAAUGGCUUACCAAGGUUACGAUCUGUAACCGGUCUUAGAGGACGGUCGGUCACACUGACACUGAAUAACGGGUCAGACUCCUACGGGAGGCAGCAGUCGGGAAUUUUGGGCAAUGGGCGAAAGCCUGACCCAGCAACGCCGCGUGAAGGAUGAAGUAUUUCGGUAUGUAAACUUCGAAAGAAUGGGAAGAAUCAAUGACGGUACCAUUUAUAAGGUCCGGCUAACUACGUGCCAGCCGCCGCAGUAAUAC